rnacentral:rRNA from 1 species
UACGAAGGGUGCAAGCGUUGUUCGGAUUUAUUGGGCGUAAAGCGCGUGUAGGCGGCCCUGCAAGUCGGGUGUGAAAUCCCAUGGCUCAACCAUGGAAGUGCACUCGAAACUGCAGGGCUAGAGUCCUGGAGAGGAAGGUGGAAUGCUUGGUGUAGAGGUGAAAUGCGCAGAUAUCAGGAGGAACACCGGUGGCGAAGGCGGGUCUCUGGGCCGAUACUGACGCUGAGGAGCGAAAGCGUGGGGAGCGAACAGG